CUGGCUGCUACAGUGUGGCAGUGUACUGCUGCUGGCUGUGUGCUCUGUGAUUGACAGCUGUCAGCUGCACUCCUCACUGCAACUGACCUG